UGUGUGUGAGAGAGAGAGAGAGAGAGAGAGAUAGAGAGAGAGAGAGAGAGAGAUAUGAAUCGUGCGGCGUCUAAUAAUCGAUACAGCGCGACGUGCAUGUAUCGCGUUCAAUGCGAGGAUAACUUUAUUGUACUUUAUCGUAUAAGAGAGAUUUGUAGAGAGUUUAUAUUAGGCCAAUUGUCACAGUGAGAGUUAUACGAUAGCGAUGUUUUUUUCUCCUUCAAAAGAAAUCGUGGCCAACUAUUUCAAUUCCCUUCCCUUCCCAGAGAAGAGAAUUUCGUUCCGCUUCGCGUCUGAUCCACCAUGUUUUAAUUAGCUCGUCUUUUAUCCUCCCAGUUUUAUCAUCGCCAAGCUUGCGGAUCAAUCGACGUUCAAUAAUUGACGAGAAAAAUUGGAGAAAUAGCACAUAGCAUUGGAUGAACGAAGUUAAAAAUGCUAAAAGUGACAGUCCUCGAACAGUCCAAAUAGUUGGCCACAAUUAUACAGGCGCAAAAGAUCGUGUCGCGUUCCAGCAUAAUACUCGCGUAACAAUUGCUUGGAUGAUCAAUUUGUGUGAUAUAGAAAGGAUCCAUCGAAGGAUAAUUUCGAUUCAGAAUGUAUUCUCGUAAUUUUCAAUGAUUUUAUUCGUUCCAAGGUACCUGUUCUUGGCCAAAUAUAGAUUAAUGAAAUUGCGUUAAUUAACGUUAAGAGGAAACAUAAUUUGUUGUUUGGUAGGUGAUUUUCUUUUAUUUUAGUCGAAAAUUGCAUCGAGAAGCAAGUUUCGCGUUGAAAAAAAUCAAAAUUUAUAAACUUAUUUAAUUGUAGGAAUUGAUGGAUUAAAAUGAUAAUCUAAUAGCGUAAUGGAACUUGCUUCUUUGAUGAAUCUUUAAAAAAAUAUUGCUUUGAACGCGUGAAGACUUAGACAAAUCAUUUUUCAUAUUUUCUUUUUACUGUUACGUUUUUUUUUUUUUUUAAUCAAAUUAAGUGUUCAAGCUAAAAAAGCACGUUCAAAUGGAGAAAACUUUUCGAAUAGUAGAUUUUAUCAAUUCUAUUUUUUUUAAUUUCGUUCAAAACGUCAGACAUGCGAAAAGAAAAUAAAAAUAAUUCUUCAGAAAUUGUAUUACGCGAUGUGUUACGAUCUGUACGAACAGACGAUGAAUAUGAACAAAAAUCAAAUAAAACGUUACAAUGAAUGUUAGUUAA